GUGCAGGCAAGGCUAACCAUAUGAUAAUUUCUUACCAAACUGGACACUAUAUGGGCUAAAAUGGCAUUGGCCUAGACAUCCCCGUAUUAAGUGUUUCAUUCUAUUGUAUUCAGACUCACUGCAUAGAUUAUAUUGUUUUAGCCAUAAUCUGUAGCCAAUGUGAAAACGCUUGGAUGGCGCCUACAGGCAAGUUUCUGGUUACCGAGGGAACGCAGAUGGUAGAGGAGACUGACGGGCAUUCAUUCUGUCAUCAGUUUGCAUUACAAUAGAACGUACUCGUAGAUCUGUGGCAGCUGGAGUCCGUAGCCUACAAGCGCUCGCAUACAAAAUACAGACAUCUGCGGGUUAAUUCAUCGUGCCAUCCAAACACUCCUUUGUCCAGGCUUCAGUCUUGUUAUUUACUUUCCAUUAUUAACCGCCCAUCAGAGGCAGCUGCUUCGCUCUCACCCGACCUCUCUGCUCAAGGCAAACUGACGCACUCCACGGAGGAUUAGUCGGACACAGUUGGAGCCCUUUAUCGCGCCAUCCUUGCUGACACAGAUGGUGCGAGACAGGUGCAUUUUGGACCGAUGGUCAAACUUACAUCAAUGCAGAAGUGGCCAAACCCACAGCCCAGCUGGCAGGACGCACGUCCCCAUGACAACUGAGAUUCCCUGGGGUCCCUGAUGGACUGAUGAAUACAGGAGUAGGGAGACGGGUAUGCGUCCAGUAUAUCCACACAUAUUGAAGGGAUUCUUCUAAAGACAGAGGAUUAACCACUACUAUAAUGAUGUCUUGUAUGCUCCGUUCCUCCAUGAAAUUUGUAUUGACUAUUGUUUUUAUUAGGGGAGCUACCGAAGCAAGAUAUUCAUUUCAAUUAGGUCAGUGUAAGGUAAAACAUUUCAAAUAAGAUUUAAAAAAGGUUAAUCAGGUCAGUUAGUAACUGUUCCUAAUCACCUAUGAUUCUGGGAAUUUUAUUAACCCUUCCCUCCUGCAUCCCAUGGUAUCUUUAGGCAGUAGUCAAGUCCAAUGGUCCAGCCUCUCUUUGGUAGGGUUUUGGGGGCAGGUGUUCCAGGGGGUUGCGUUCCACUUUCUGCUGCUUGCUGCUCUGUGUUUCUCUCCAGAUAUGCUGAGGAGGAUACUGAGAUGGUGCCAGCCCUCAUAGUCCAUGUAGACGAGUCAACAACAUGACCAGACUGAUAGAGCUGUCUACAAAGCUGUUUUCUAAACAGUUGUCAACGCGGUUCAUCCUUACCGAAUUGGAACUGGGACGGGAACUGGGACCUAUGGCUUUCACCCACUGACGAAUGAACAUUACUACAAGGCUACUGAUGGAGCACACUUCUUUUGCUAUCGAUUUGUGUUAGAAGGAGACCUUGCAGUGAUUAUUAUUGUUAUUAUUUGGAAGUACCAUUGGCACGUUGCUGGCCCCUUUAAUUGUAGUCUAUUUUAUGCCGACGUCAUUCAGGACCACAUUUCAUGCCAUAAGAGAGACCCAUAAAGGGUGGGGUUUUAGUGUUGUCUGAUGCUUUGGCGCUUUCAUUUCCUUAAAUAUUGUUUACCUGAGGGAGCUCUCUCCCCUCCUCUGUAAAAUAGUACUUUAUCAUCCCCUUCCAGACUGUUCAGCUGAUCAAAGCAGUGAGAGACUAACACCUUUCUCUGAUGCCUGCUUCUCCUCAUGCUGUCAGCACCUUUCUCUUCUCUGUAACCUUGGCAACACUUUUAACACCUUACUCACUUCCUUCUACCUCUGAUGUCUAACAUGACUAACAAGGUUGAGUCUGCUAAGAUGGCCUUCCUGCUCAUUUAAUUGAUGUGCUCCUAAAGGCGUCAGCAUGCUUCAGUUUGGCUGACGCCUUCCUGAAGUUGGCUAGGCAAACCGAACAAGUGGGCUUGCAUCCUCCCUUAAACGGUCUUCACUUGGAAAACAAUAAAAAAGCGACAAUAGUACCGAUUGUCCAUUUUGACAUGCCGUAGCCAGUAUAAACUUACUCAAAAUAUUGAGUGAAUAUUGAAUGAAUCUACGAUAACUCAAGAAAUCCGUCAUACAAUUUGACGUUUUUGCAGAGAUCUUAGUCGUGCAAUUUUGCAUCUAAUUGAGAUGUCUGGUGCAGUAUUUCUCAAUGAAAACAUUUGCAUGAAAACACGUCGUCUCUCGUUGAAUUACAACAAAGACUUUAUUAAAGAAUCCCUACUGUUGACCAAUCACCAACGAAGGAGCGUAGAUUUCGGCUACCGACUUCGGCUUGCCUCUAGAAAAAAUGUUGAGCUCGAACAGCCGAAAAAAAACAUGACUAAAGUCCAGAACUAACAAAAACAUCACAAAAUGAUGUCAUAAUAUAUGCACAAAUUCUAUUGAACUGUUUUGGCUGGGAAGCAUGCGGACGUCUUAACCCAGCUGACAUACCCAUACCACUCCAGCAGCUAAUGCUUGUUAUCGUUAGUCUACUCUAACGUUACAGGAGUGUUAUGAUGAUGUUACGACUUUAAUAGGGUUGUGUCAGUGUUUGUAGCGGUGUUUGGAUGGUCUCCCGAGGCCUGGUUUGUCUUGUGAUUGCUGCAUGUUCUGCAACUCCCAAUAACCUCAGCUAGAGUCAUAUAGAACUAACCAACACCAGAGUAAUCCUGGUUUGCUAACCUGGACUAACAAUCUAACAGUCACUAAUCAAGCUAAUCAACCAAACUAAACCCCAAGCCCCGUUGAGGGGAGGACGGCUCAUUUGAAUGGCCGGAACGGAGCAUAUGGAAUGGUAUCAAACACAUGGAAACCAUAUAUUUGAUGUAUUUGAUACUAGUCUAUUCAUUCUGCUCCAGCCAUGAGCCCUUCCUCCCAAAUUAAGGUGCCAACAAAGUCCUGUGGUGUAGGUGUACAUUUUGAGUGUAAGAGUGUGGCUCUUAGUGUAAUUAAUUUCCUUACCCAUUGAAACCAAACCCUCAGCUCUCUUGGCAUUCCUUAAUAAAUACACUAACAAAUAGCCUCUAAUACCUAACAGUACUAAUGUCUGGUAACAGACAUUUUGUUACUUACACUAACCUGUACUAUACUAACUUGUACCUCUCCCAUUUUCCUGAAACCUUUCUUCCACCAGACACAGAUCACCCAAAUUCAUAUACACUAACUAUGUAUUUAUCUAUCUGUCAUAACCUUAAGCUCAGUAAGUUGCUUGUUGAGAGUUUUUACUUUUGGCCCCUAAAGCACAACGGUGAGAAUGAUUCCAGGAUCUGGGAUGGGAAGCUGGAUUAACCAAUAGAUUGAAAGACAAAGCGCACCUACCGACCUGUAGCUCACUGGGUUGACCACACACUUCUGCUCAGGGGGAUGCCUAAAAACAUGUUACGAAUGUUUCAGUAACUAUACUAAAGAUGAUUAUUUUUUUAAGUUGUCCAUCUUAAUAGUUUAACAAAUAAUGGCUGACAAAUGUUUGUCCCCCUGUCCAUUGUGUGGCCAACCAGUGUUUGGUUUGUAGCCUGCAUAGACACAUGUGUAUUCUCUUAUUAGAUAAACCAAAGCAAAUAGCAACCCUUACCUGCUUUACUACUAACUGAGUGGUGACUGGUAUAUGAACAACAACCCUGGAUAAGGCCUAACACUUUGGCUAUUGAUUUCUUGCUCUUACAGUAUGUUAGUAUCUUCUCUCAGACUAACACGUGGUGCUUCUUUCAAUGAAGUCUAACCAUACUGUGACCAACUUAUCACCCAUCACUUCUCCCUGCCCCUUGGUGAGAUCAAACAGCAUCUAGUAGGCCAUGCAGUAUCGUUUCUUUACUUCCUGAGUCGUCAUGAGGAUAGACAUCUCUGUGUCCUUGAUCGUGUGACACUUUACUUAACCUGCACUAGAGUGAGAAAGCACUAACUAUUGGGGCAUGAAACAGCUUCCCAGAAACUAACAAACUAACUAACCUACUAAUUAACUAAUUAUCUAACAAACUAACUGAAAUGAUUAAUUGUGUGCUGAGAGUUAUGAGGUUUGGAGGUUUAUGUUCAGCAAGCCAUCCCCCUCUCUGGUGUGUGUGGGUGUGUGGGUGUGUGUGGUUGUGUGUGGGUGUGUGUGUGUGUGUGUGUGGGUGUGUGUGUGUGUGGGGGUGUGUGUGUGUGCAUGUAAUGUAUGCUGCAACUAACUCUGACAGUCUCACGUCAGAAUUAGACGUUCAUCCAUGUUUCUCAAACAUCACAUUUCAAAUUUCUUCCAAACUUCCAAUUUCAGUGUUUAAGGCUAAGGUUAAGUAUUAACUACGAAUGGUUAAGGUUUGGAAUAGGCUUAAAACAAAAAUCUCAAAAACAACUUCAUAUUCAGUGAUUUGAACACGCAACUUUUGGGACACGAGGCAGAUGCCAUUUGCUAUCUGCCAUCCCCACCUAUAACCCCCUAGAAAAACUGAAACCUACUUGAAUCUACCAGCGCUCAUUGUUGCCCCUAGAGGCCAGUUUCCACAUCAUCUCCCGACGUCCUCAGACAUGGAAGGACGUUGAAUACUGACUUGUAUCAAGGGUGAUCUGGCUAGCAGACCUGUGGUUAUUAAUACUAACCUGUACUGUGGAUGAUGUUGGCUGGGCUUGCAAUUUCAAACACAUUAACAUGAACUACUCUUUGCUUUGUGCACAGAGUCUGAGACAGAAUCUUUUCCCAUUUUCCUGAAACCUUUCUUCCACCAGACACAGAUCACCCAAAUUCAUAUACACUAACUAUGUAUUUAUCUAUCUGUCAUAACCUUAAGCUCAGUAAGUUGCUUGUUGAGAGUUUUUACUUUUGGCCCCUAAAGCACAACGGUGAGAAUGAUUCCAGGAUCUGGGAUGGGAAGCUGGAUUAACCAAUAGAUUUAAAGACAAAGCGCACCUACCGACCUGUAGCUCACUGGGUUGACCACACACUUCUGCUCAGGGGGACGCCUAAAAACAUGUUACGAAUGUUUCAGUAACUAUACUAAAGAUGAUUAUUUUUUAAGUUGUCCAUCUUAAUAGUUUAACAAAUAAUGGCUGACAAAUGUUUGUCCCCCUGUCCAUUGUGUGGCCAACCAGUGCUUGGUUUGUAGCCUGCAUAGACACAUGUGUAUUCUCUUAUUAGAUAAACCAAAGCAAAUAGCAACCCUUACCUGCUUUACUACUAACUGAGUGGUGACUGGUACUAACAACCCUAGAUGAGGCCUCAGAAUUUGGCCAUUGAUUCUUUGCUCUUACGCAGGUUGACAUUUAUUGUCACGAGUCUUGUCCUGAAGGCAGAACUGACCGAUUUCCCCUUAGAUAGGCCAGCUGCAAAGUCAAAAUUGUCUAUAUUGUAAAAAUAAACAUUUUUUCUUUUUGCCCAUUAGCUCUAACAGUGUGGGUAAGGUUAGGUUUAACAUUAGGUUUAACAUCAGAUUUCAUGACUUUGUGGUUGUGCAACUUAGUGACCCCUCUGCAGAGUGAACUCCAGAACAACAUUCAUGACAAAAAACACUAACCUGAUGCUCUUACUAACAUACUGAAUCUUCUCUCAGACUAACAUGUGGUGCUUCUUUCAAUGCUGUCUAACCAUGCUGCGACCAACUUAUCACCCAUCACUUCUCCCUGCCCCUUGGUGAGAUCAAACAGCAUCUAGUAGGCCAUGCAGUAUCGUUUCUUUACUUCCUGAGUCGUCAUGAGGAUAGACAUCUCUGUGUCCUUGAUCGUGUGACACUUUACUUAACCUGCACUAGAGUGAGAAAGCACUAACUAUUGGGGCAUGAAACAGCUUCCCAGAAACUAACAAACUAACUAACCUACUAAUUUGACUAAUUUAUCUAACAAACUAACUGAAAUGACUAAUGUUGUGCUGAGAGUUAUCAGGUUUUGGUUCAGCAAGCCAUCCCCCCCUGUGUGUGUGUGUGUGUGUGUGUGUGUGUGUGUGUGUGUGUGUGUGUGUGUGUGUGUGUGUGUGUGUGUGUGUGUGUGUGUGUGUGUGUGUGUGUGUGUGUGUGUGUGUGUGUGUGUGCGUGCGUGCGUGCGUGUGUACAUUGAUUCUCAAACUGUGUGCAUGAUGCCGUCAUUGUUUUUGUCUGAAUGAGUGUUAAGGAUUCAGCAUGCUCCAGCUCGGCUGGCACCUAGCCAAAUUCGGCUAGGUGAACCGAAUGAGUGUGCUGCAUACUCCCUUAAAAGACCUUUGCUUGACAAUUUGAAAAAGCAGCAAUAUUACUGUUUGUCAAUUUGAGAUGCCAUAGCCAGUACACACUUCCUUAAAAUAGUCAUAAUUAAUCGAAGAUAAUUCAAGAAAUCUGUCAUUAAUUUAGACUUUUUUGCAGAGGAGAUCUUAGUCAUGCAAUAGUACAUCUAAGAUUUUUGGUGCAGUAUUUCUCAAUUAAUAAUGUGCAUGAAAACGAGUCGUCUAUCAUUAAAUGACAACAAAGACUUUAUUGAAGAAUCCCUAUGGUUGACCAAUCACCGAUGAAUGGGGGUUAUUUUAGUCUCAGAACUUCGAUUUGCCUCUAGAAUGUUUUGGAUGUGUCAGAACAACCGAAAAAAGCCCACCGAAGUCCAAAACGAACAAAAACGUCACAUAAUGUCUUCAUAAUAUAUGCACAAACUCUUCCGAACUGUGUUGACUGGGAAGCACGAGGACGCCUUAAGCGUGUAUGUUUUUCUAUCAGUUUUUUCUAUGGAGUAACGUUAUACUAUAGCAAUGUUGUCUUCAUCCACUAUUUACACAAAUGACUGAUGAUAAAAUUAUUAUAGAGGCGGUUUUGUUAUACUUCAGUGCGGCUUUUGACAUUAUCGAUCAUAGUCUGCUGCUGGAAAAACGUAUGUGUUAUGGCUUUACAUCCCCUGCUAUAUCGUGGAUAAAGAGUUACCUGUCUAACAGAACACAGAGGGUGUUUUAAUGGAAGCCUCUCCAACAUAAUCCAGGUAGAAUCAGGAAUUUCCCAGGGCAGCCCGUUACUUUUUUCAAUCUGUAGUAAUGACAUGCCACUGGCUCUACUCAAUUGCGGAUGACUCAACACUAUACCCAUCAACUACUACAGCGACUGAAAUGACCGCAACACUUAACAAAGAGCUGCGGUUAGUUUCAGAAUGGGUGGCAAAGGAAUAAGAUCGUCCUAAAUAUUUCUAAAACUAAAAGCAUUGUAUUUGGGACAAAUCAUUCACUAAACCCUAAACCUCAACUAAAUAUUUUAAUAAAUAAUGUGGAAAUUGAGCAAGUUGAGGUGACUAAACUGCUUUGAGUAACCCCGGAUUGUAAACUGUCAUGGUCAAAACAUAUUGAUAGAACAGAAGCUAAGACGGGGAAAUGUCUGUCCGUAACAAACACAGUACACAGUUUGGACACCCAUGCACAAGACAUGAGGUCUCUUCAGAGUCCCCAAGUCCAGAACAGACUAUGGGAGGUGCACAUUACUACAUAGAGCCAUGACUACAUGGAACUCAACAUCAACAUCAAGUAACUGAUGCAAGUAGUAAAAUUUGAUUUAAAAAACAGAUAAAAUACACCUUAUGGAACAGCAGGGACUAUGAAGCAACACAAACAUAGGCACAUACACUUAACAUAGGCACACACACAUUUACACACACACAAUAACAUACGCACAAUACACACACAUAAACAGGGAUUUUGUAUUGUAGAUAUUUGGUAGUGGAGUAAGAGCCUGACAAGAGCGGCACACAGUAUGUUGAGAAUUUUGUUGUGAAUGUAUUGUAAUGUUUUUAAAAUUGUACAACUGCAUUCAUUUUGCUGUUUGGCAGCAGCUAAUGGGGAUUAAUAGUAAAAGCAAAUGCACAUUUAGAACUGAUUUAGCAAAAACUAAGACCACAUUUAUUAUACAGACUCAACUGUCAAAGGUGGGUUCUAUUCUUGGAUAAAGACAAGCUUCUUACGGCUUGACAAUCAAAUUGUGUGAUCAAUGGAUGAAGCAGUUUUGCUUUGGAGGACCUAAUGUCUUUCAGAGUAGCUUCAAUCAAAAGCGUCACUAGUCAACAGUGUCUAAGUGGUUUUGAUCCUUGUCCUUUGUGUGGUGUCACUACAGAAUUAUUCACAAAAUAUGGCUGGGAUGUUGAAAAACUGAUAAUAGCCUUACUAUCUUUUAUUUCAUGUGCUGUAUUGAUAAAACAUAUUUACCAUGCCCUUGUCUCUGUUGAAUAAACUAUUUUAAAAAGUA